UUUUGCAGGAUAACAUUGUCGAGAAACAGAAUACUGUACAGCUUUCUAGUCUCGCUGAACUUAAGAAAAAGAUCGACGCAAGAGCUAACAAACAAGAUGAGCAGAGACCAGGAACAUCUACUCUAAGACUUGCACCAAAGAGGAAGGCAGGGUCUGCUCAAAAUGAUCAUGUCGAUCAGGACGACCCGCCACCAAAACAGACAAAGGUAAGUUUCCUUCUAGUUCCUUGUCCA